rnacentral:rRNA from 1 species
GAGUUUGAUCCUGGCUCAGGACGAACGCUGGCGGCGUGCUUAACACAUGCAAGUCGAACGGAGUUAUUUAUAAAGCUUGCUUUUUGAAUAACUUAGUGGCGCACGGGUGAGUAACACGUGGGCAAUCUACCCGGAAGUCUGGGAUAACACCCCGAAAGGGGUGCUAAUACCGGAUAUACACAACAAGUCGCAUGACAAGUUGUGGAAAGUUUUUCGCUUCCGGAUGAGCCCGCGUCCCAUUAGCUAGUUGGUGAGGUAACGGCCCACCAAGGCGACGAUGGGUAGCUGGUCUGAGAGGACGAUCAGCCACACUGGAACUGAGACACGGUCCAGACUCCUACGGGAGGCAGCAGUGGGGAAUCUUGCGCAAUGGGCGAAAGCCUGACGCAGCAACGCCGCGUGAACGAUGAAGGCCUUCGGGUCGUAAAGUUCUGUCAGGGGGGACGAAGAUCUGACGGUACCCCCGGAGGAAGCUCCGGCUAACUACGUGCCAGCAGCCGCGGUAAUACGUAGGGAGCAAGCGUUGUCCGGAAUUACUGGGCGUAAAGGGCGUGUAGGCGGCCGAUCAAGUCAGGUGUGAAAAUCCAGGGCUCAACCCUGGACGUGCACUUGAAACUGGUUGGCUUGAGUGCAGAAGAGGAAAGUGGAAUUCCCAGUGUAGCGGUGAAAUGCGUAGAUAUUGGGAGGAACACCAGUGGCGAAGGCGACUUUCUGGUCUGUAACUGACGCUGAGGCGCGAAAGCUAGGGGAGCAAACAGGAUUAGAUACCCUGGUAGUCCUAGCCGUAAACGAUGGGUACUAGGUGUAGGGGGUUUAGACGCCCUCUGUGCCGCAGUUAACACAUUAAGUACCCCGCCUGGGGAGUACGGCCGCAAGGC